GAUGAACGCUAGCUACAGGCUUAACACAUGCAAGUCGAGGGGAAACGGCAUUAAGUGCUUGCACUUUUUGGACGUCGACCGGCGCACGGGUGAGUAACGCGUAUCCAACCUUCCCAUGACUAAGGGAUAACCUGCCGAAAGGCAGACUAAUACCUUAUGGUCUUCACUGACGGCAUCAGAUGUGAAGUAAAGAUUUAUCGGUUAUGGAUGGGGAUGCGUCUGAUUAGCUUGUUGGCGGGGUAACGGCCCACCAAGGCAACGAUCAGUAGGGGUUCUGAGAGGAAGGUCCCCCACAUUGGAACUGAGACACGGUCCAAACUCCUACGGGAGGCAGCAGUGAGGAAUAUUGGUCAAUGGGCGAGAGCCUGAACCAGCCAAGUAGCGUGCAGGGUGACGGCCCUAUGGGUUGUAAACUGCUUUUGUAUGGGGAUAAAGUCAAUCACGUGUGAUUGUUUGCAGGUACCAUACGAAUAAGGACCGGCUAAUUCCGUGCCAGCAGCCGCGGUAAUACGGAAGGUCCGGGCGUUAUCCGGAUUUAUUGGGUUUAAAGGGAGCGUAGGCUGGAGAUUAAGUGUGUUGUGAAAUGUAGACGCUCAACGUCUGACUUGCAGCGCAUACUGGUUUCCUUGAGUACGCACAACGUUGGCGGAAUUCGUCGUGUAGCGGUGAAAUGCUUAGAUAUGACGAAGAACUCCGAUUGCGAAGGCAGCUGACGGGAGCGCAACUGACGCUGAAGCUCGAAGGUGCGGGUAUCGAACAGG
rnacentral:rRNA from 1 species